CGCCUCUUCCUAGGCGAUUUCAAAUAUUAUCUCAAUUCGCGCCUUUUAGAAAAGUGCGUAGUAUGUCGAUUGAUUUUACUAUUUGAACAAAUUUAUUUUCUUUUUGUAUAAUGAUAAUGUUUAUUAAAAGUGCAGUGAAGUUACUUAUGAACGCAUAGAAAUGAUUUUCAGUGAUAGCUUAUUUCGAUUGGAUUCGUUAUGCACAUCUGAAUUUCUAGUGUAGGCAUAAGAUACUCGUAUACUGUAGGCCUGCUGUAGAUUAUAAACAGCAGUUAGCGGCUGUACGUGUACUUACAUGUAUCUAAUGUUUGUUGACGUCUUGCCUCCCGUGUCCUCGCGCAAGGUUUUUCGUACAAAUGUACGGACACGGCAAGCAGCUAGUUCCCUGACUACAGCGGUGUCGAAUACAUCAAAUAAUUUUCUUCCCGGUCUACACAGCCUCCUACACUAGCAUUAGAGAUGAACCGGCACGUCGAAUGGAAUCGCGAGCAGCGUUUGAAAGACAACAAAAAAGACGGGAGAGAUAAGGAAAGUGCAGCUUAACACACCAUGAAGAAUAGCAUGCGAAUAGAAUAUGCCGUGAAGGACUGAAACGCGAUAAAACACAAAAAGGACGAUAAUCUCAAGACGUAUAAAGCAUAUAACAACUGAAACAGCUUAAUUCAAUCUCA